rnacentral:rRNA from 1 species
ACUCCUACGGGAGGCAGCAGUGGGGAAUUUUGGACAAUGGGCGCAAGCCUGAUCCAGCAAUGCCGCGUGAGUGAAGAAGGCCUUCGGGUUGCAAAGCUCUUUCAGUUGAAAAGAAAAAGUCGUGACUAAUAAUCAUGGCUCAUGACGGUAUCAACAGAAGAAGCACCGGCUAACUACGUGCCAGCAGCCGCGGUAAUACGUAGGGUGCAAGCGUUAAUCGGAAUUACUGGGCGUAAAGGGUGCGCAGGCGGUUCUGUAAGUCAGAUGUGAAAUCCCCGGGCUUAACCAGGGAACUGCGUUUGAAACUGCAGAGCUAGAGUGCGGCAGAGGGAGGUGGAAUUCCAUGUGUAGCAGUGAAAUGCGGAGAGAUAUGGAAGAACAUCGAUGGCGAAGGCAACCUCCUGGGCUAGCACUGACGCUCAUGCACGAAAGCGUGGGGAGCAAAUAGGAUUAGAUACCCUGGUAGUCCACGCCCUAAACUAUGUCAACUAGUUGUCGGGUCUUAAUAGACUUGGUAACGUAGCUAACGCGUGAAGUUGACCGCCCGGGGAGUACGGUCGCAAGAUUAAAACUCAAAGGAAUUGACGGGGACCCUCACAAGCGGUGGAUUAUGUGGAUUAAUUCGAUGCAACGCGAAAAACCUUGCCUACCCUUGACAUGUCAGAAAAUUUUCAGAGAUGAAUUUGUGCCCGAAAGGGAAUCUGAACACAGGUGCUGCAUGGCUGUCGUCAGCUCGUGUCGUGAGAUGUUGGGUUAAGUCCCGCAACGAGCGCAACCCUUGUCAUUAAUUGCCAUCAUUAAGUUGGGCACUUUAAUGAGUCUGCCGGUGAUAAACCGGAGGUAGGUGGGGAUGACGUCAAGUCCUCAUGGCCCUUAUGGGUAGGGCUUCACACGUAAUACAAUGGCG